CCUACGGGAGGCAGCAGUGAGGAAUAUUGGUCAAUGGUCGGGAGACUGAACCAGCCAAGCCGCGUGAGGGAUGAAGGUACAGAGUAUCGUAAACCUCUUUUGUCAGGGAAUAAAGGCGGGGACGUGUCCCCGGAUGAGUGUACCUGAAGAAAAAGCAUCGGCUAACUCCGUGCCAGCAGCCGCGGUAAUACGGAGGAUGCGAGCGUUAUCCGGAUUUAUUGGGUUUAAAGGGAGCGUAGGGGGGCGUUAAAGUCAGCUGGAAAAUCGCGCGGCUCAACCGAGCACCGCAGUUGAAACUGGACGCAUUGAGUUCACAACAGGCAGGCGGAAUUCGUGGUGUAGCGGUGAAAUGCAUAGAUAUCACGAGGAACCCCGAUUGCGAAGGCAGCCUGCCGGGGUGCGACUGACGCUGAGGCUCGAAGGUGCGGGUAUCAAACAGGAUUAGAUACCCCAGUAGUC
rnacentral:rRNA from 1 species